rnacentral:tRNA from 1 species
CUGGGGUUGUGGCUCAGUGGUAGGGCACUUGCCUAGCACAUGCAAGGGCCUGGAUUCGAUCCUCAGACCACAUA